UACGUAGGGGGCAAGCGUUGUCCGGAUUUAUUGGGCGUAAAGAGCGUGUAGGCGGCCUGAAAGGUCAGCUGUGAAAACUCGAGGCUCAACCUCGAGACGUCGGUUGAAACCAUCUGGCUAGAGUCCGGAAGAGGAGAGUGGAAUUCCCGGUGUAGCGGUGAGAUGCGCAGAUAUCGGGAAGAACACCCGUGGCGAAGGCGGCUCUCUGGGACGGUACUGACGCUGAGGAGCGAAAGCGUGGGUAGCAAACAGG
rnacentral:rRNA from 1 species